UACGGGGGGGGCAAGCGUUGUUCGGAAUUACUGGGCGUAAAGGGCUCGUAGGCGGCCAACUAAGUCAGACGUGAAAUCCCUCGGCUUAACCGGGGAACUGCAUCUGAUACUGGAUGGCUCGAGUUUGGGAGAGGGAUGCGGAAUUCCAGGUGUAGCGGUGAAAUGCGUAGAUAUCGAGAGGAACACCAGUGGCGAAGGCGAGUCCCUGGACAACACCUGACACUGAGGCACGAAAGCUAGGGGAGCAAACAGG
rnacentral:rRNA from 1 species